rnacentral:rRNA from 1 species
UUCCGGUUGAUCCCGCCGGAGGCCAUUGCUAUCGGAGUCCGAUUUAGCCAUGCUAGUCAUGCGAGUUCAGACUCGCGGCACCGAGCUCAGUAACACGUGGCCAAACUACCCUACAGAGACGGAUACCCUCGGGAAACUGAGGUUAACCCGUCAUACCGAUCUCAGGCUUGAAUCGCAGAGAUCACAAAACGCCCCGGCGCUGUAGGAUGUGGCUGCGGUUGAUUAGGUAGACGGUGGGGUAACGGCCCACCGUGCCCAUAAUCAGUACAGGUUGUGAGAGCAAGAACCUGGAGACGGAAUCUGAGACAAGAUUCCGGGCCCUACGGGGCGCAGCAGGCGCGAAACCUUUACACUGCACGCACGUGCGAUAAGGGGACUCCGAGUGCGAGGGCAUAUCGUCCUCGCUUUCGUGUACCGUAGGGUGGUACACCAACAAGGGCUGGGCAAGACCGGUGCCAGCCGCCCGCGGUAAUACCGGGCAGCCCGAGUGAUGGCCGAUCUUAUUGGGCCUAAAGCGUCCGUAGCUGGCUGCNCAAGUCCGUCGGGAAAUCCACUCGCCCAACGAGUGGGCGUCCGACAGAAACUGCACAGCUUGGGACCGGAAGGCUCGAAGGGUACGUUCGGGGUAGGAGUGAAAUCCCAUAAUCCCGCAGGGACCACCCAUGGCNAAAGCUCUUCGAGAAAA